rnacentral:tRNA from 1 species
GGUGAUAAAUUUCACUUACAAUGAAAGUAGCCGUGUUGGCACUUGUAUAUUUAUAAGGUGUUUGUUUAG